AGUUUCAGAAUAAAACAGUCUGCGGUUUUGAGAAGUAAUUCCCAGGAUGUAUGGAAAGAAUGGUUAACCUUUUCGACAUGAGCCCAAACAUGGCUGGUUUAUGGAGAGGCUGCGGGGAACCAUGGUUUCAUAAAAUAUUGAAGGAAGUUGAACAAGAUUUAUCAGACUUCAAAUGCGGUCUUGCACAUUUAUUCAUUCAACACACGAGUGCUUCCCUAACUAUAAAUGAGAAUUAUGAUUUAGAUGUCUGGGCCGA